GCCCAUCUGACUAGGUUGCCACAGCCACUCUGGGUAGCUUCCAACACAUAAAAAACAGAAUCAAACAUUCAACAUUUUUUAAAAAAUUCCUUAUGCAGGGCUGCCAUCAAACAUCUUCUAAUAUAGUCCCUUAUCUCCUUGACUCAAGGGUCGCAAAACUGCAUACCCUCUGAUGCAGCAGAAGAAUCUUUUACUUGCAUCUGCCACUAGCUAUAGCAAUAAAAUAAAAUAAAAUACUGGAGAUAGAGGUAAAAACUAUAGAAAAAAUAUUUUUGGGGUUUACAUCAAUAAUAAAAUAAUAGCUCUUAUUCUAAUUGCCCCCAGUUUGCAGUUUUUGCUGUCACCUGAUCAUCUUGAUCUACUAAAAGAAAGGACACAAUAGCAAUGGUUGGGCAACCCGUCGUGGACAAUAGAGAGGUAAUAAUCUCCUCAAAUCUAUAAAGUGCAAGCCAGAAGCACAUGAGCCACUGACUCAGUACUGCCAUCUCCACAUGGACGUAACCGUUUUUCCAGUGGAAUUUUUUGAAAUCAACCCUCAAAUACAGCCUCAAUCUUGCGAAAUGAAAGCGCAUCUGUAUUUUGCAAACAGGGUGCCAAAGUGUCAGAAUGACCAGGUGGAAAAUAAUCAUGCCAUGGACAAAAUUUCCUUAUUGUGGCCAGAUUAUUUUGUUGCUCGAUAUCAUAUAAUUAAAUUAUUUGCUUUACCCUCCAGUGAAAAUAUGAAUGUCCUAAGGGACAGCUUCUGUAAAUCCUAAGGGACAGCUUCUGUAAAUCCAGAACUGUCCCUGGAAAAUAGGGUCACUUGGGAGGGUCUGGAAGUGGCCCAGGGUGGGUUGCUCCACAGCAAGAGUUGGGUAUAUGCCCUUUAAACAUCACCCUCAUUAAUCAAAUUUAAAUACUUCAGCGGAAGUUCACAGGGCGGUUUACAGCAUAAAAAUCUGAAAUGAAAAUAUCCAAUACAUAACACAAUGGCAACGUGAAACAACAGCGAUUCCAAUCCUGUUUUAUAGGCCCCAAAAGAACAAGAAGAGCUCCAGUGGAUCAGGCCACAUUCCAGCAUCAUGUUCUCAAGAGCAGCCAGCCAGAGUUUCUCUGCAUAGUUUACCAAAAAAUCUUAAAAGAAAAAGAUGUCACAACUGAAAUUGGCACAGCGAUCCCUAGGCAGCGUUUUCCUAACCUUGUUCUUGCCUGGAGUAAUGCCAGGCAACAAAAAGAAGGAAGUACAUCUACUAAAACACUGGUUUUCAACUGGGGUGGGGGGUGUCCUGAUCCAAGAUGAGUCACGACCGGAC